rnacentral:lncRNA from 1 species
AAAAAAAAAGUAAUGUACAUUUAUAAAAAUUAAAAAAGAAGUAUAAGAAAUAGAAUAUAAGACGAUUAUUCGAGUGAUAAAAAAAAAAAAAAAAAAAAAAAAAAAAAAGUGUAAAUAUACAAGCAUAUACCAAUUUUGAAUUCAGAAAGAAAAAAAAAAAAAAAAAAAAAAAAAAUGUAGAUAUAUUAAAUAUAUAUCGAUUUUUUUUAUAAAAAAGAGAUAAAAAAAUGAGCCUGAAUCUAGCAUGAAAUAUAAAGUCUUUCUAAAUAUCAUAUAAUUAAAAAAUUUUAAAUAAUAUCUUAUGUUUUAACAAGCAUAAUUGUGUGUUUUUGUACACAUGUAUGAAAUUAUAUUGCCUUUUUGCCUUGCUUAAAUGUAUAUUUAUGAAUCAUUUUAUAUCCUAAAAAAAAAAUAAUAAUAAAUAUUAUAUAAUAAUAUGUAAUAAUGUAAAAAUAUGUAAUAAUAUGUAAUAUGAGAGAAAAAAAAAGAAACAACAAAUGAUAGAUUAUAAAGAAUAAAUAAAGAAUAUGUAAAUACUAUAUAAGUAAUUAAAUAAUAAACGUAUACUCUACAAAUAAUCAAUAUAGACAUAAUAUAAGUAUUAAGCAUAGACAAUAAAUAAAAAAAAUAAAAAAAAAUAAAAAAAAAAUAAAAAAAAAAAUAUUCACAUAUAUAAUCGCAUUUAUUUUGAUAAUGUUAUUUUCAUAGAUGUGACAUAUGUUAACAUUUACUCAAAUUUUCAUAUACUUAAAAAAAAUAUAUAAUUUUAGUAAAGAAUUACAUAUAUGUUGGAAAAUACUUUAAGAAAAAUAUAAGAACGUACAUAUAUUACUAACAUAUUUCACCAUACAAUUUAUAAUUCAUAACCUCAAAUGUAUAAAUGUGCAUAUAUGUUUAUUGUCCAACGCAUUUUCUACUACUUUAGUUCAUAGACAUACAUAUCCAUAUUAAAAUACAAUUUUAAACUGUUAAAAAAGAAUGGAUGCGUGGGUUAAAACGAAGUUGAUUGAGAAUAUUACAAAAAACCAUGAUAUAAAAAACAUAAACUUAUAUAUAACAAAUAUUGAUCAACAUAUUGCAAAAAUAAAAAAUGAAGGUGGAAGUAUUAUAGAUGAAGUAUUUUUAGCAUUUAAUGGAUCUAUUAGUCAUAUUUCUCUUUACGCUUAUUUAUAUGAUCAUAAUGUUAAUGUAGAUUUAAAUUGUUUGAAUUUCAUCAAUGAACAUAGUUAUAUAGAAGAAGAAAAGUUAAUACAAGAAAAUGAAAAAGAUGGAGGAGGUGAUAAAGUUGUAGAUAUUACAAAAUUUGAUUCAGACCUUAUAUUUUAUAUUGUAAAAGAAUAUAAAGAUAAUUUUGAGGAUAAUUAUAAUUUAACUAUUGAAGAUUUAGAAAAUAUUAUAUCAAAAUAUAAAGAAAAAGAAUAUCAAGAAUCAAUUAAAUUAUAUAAAGAAAAAUAUAAAGAUGGUGUAAAAGUAUAUAACACUUUUUUAGAUAUAAGUCAUUUUUUUUAUGAUGAAAAAAAAAUGAAAUUAAUAAAAAAACAAAAAAACGAAUCCAUCGAAAAUUAUAAUGAAUAUAUAAAUUCAAAUGUAGAUGUUGAAUUUUAUGAUUUAAAAUAUAAUUUACAAUGUAAAAAAACUAAAGGACAUCCAUCCGUUUUGUUUUGGUCAGAUGCUAUUAAUGAAAUACAAAUUAAAGAUAAAACGAUUAUCACUUCUGUUGAUGCAAUUAAAUUAACAAACCCUGGUCAUCAACAUAUCAUAGGAAUAUUGGGAUUAAAUAGGGAUGGUGAUUUAGUAAUACAAGGAAUAAGAAAUGAAAUUAUUUUGUUUAUUUAUGAAAAUUGUGUUAUUAAUUAUGGAAUAUAUUGUAUCGGUCAUGUAAUACUAGUACAAGGUCGGAUGAAAUUGGCUAAUAAAACUUUUUAUGCCUCAGAAAUAAUGCACCCUCCAAGAAGUUAUGAAGAUGAAAAAAACGAAGAUGAUAUAUUUUACGAGUUCGAAAAUGAAAAAGAAAAAAAAGAAAUAUCCGAGUAUGAAAUAAUCGUGAAAAAAUAA